rnacentral:rRNA from 1 species
GGGGAAUUUUCCGCAAUGGGCGAAAGCCUGACGGAGCAAUACUGCGUGAGGGAUGACGGCCUAUGGGUUGUAAACCUCUUUUAUCAGGGAGGAAUCAAUGACGUGUACCUGAUGAAUAAGCAUCGGCUAACUCCGUGCCAGCAGCCGCGGUAAGANCGGGGGAUGCAAGUGUUAUCCGGAAUCACUGGGCGUAAAGCGUCUGUAGGUGGUCCAAUAAGUCAACUGUUAAAUCUUGAGGCUCAACCUCAAAAUCGCAGUCGAAACUAUUAGANCUAGAGUAUAGUAGGGGUAAAGGGAAUUUCCAGUGGAGCGGUGAAAUGCGUAGAGAUUGGAAAGGACACCGAUGGCGAAGGCACUUUACUGGGCUAUUACUAACACUCAGAGACGAAAGCUAGGGUAGCAAAUGGGAUUAGAUACCCCAGUAGUC